UGGAUGGUUUGAAACUUGGCUAAGCACCUCUGGGGUUUUUAUUGUGGAAGCAAAUAUUAUCAUUUUAAUGUUAAACAACUUGCAAGUAUUAAAUAGCUCAUUUGUGAUUUACUUUUUUACAGAUUUCUCCCCCUUCAGAUCUAACGAUUACAUUAAGGCUUCUGCAUCCUUUUGGAAAGAAUUUAUUAUAAAUCAGAAAGUGUUAGAUGUUCAAAGAUUAACAUUUCUGAGUGCUGAUACUUCAUCUUUUCAUGCCUUGCAAACAGGUCUAACAUUUAGAAAUUCUUAAACGUUCGAGGGAAGUUGUGGAAAUUCCCAGCUUUUUUUUUAAGCUGGAGGAAGCCAAGUGUUUGGUUUUUUUUGUGUUUUUUUUUAAGUGUGAAGUUUAAAGCAAUCAAAUGAGGGAGAUAGCAGCUUCUGAGAAGGGGUGACACCCACCCAACUUAAGUAGCAAAUGUUUGAUAAAGCUAGUUAGCUGGCAGCUGAUGGGGAAACGGAGCAGAGAUUAAAGAGGGUAAGUGAGAGGGCGCUAUUUCACCCAACCUUGGUGAAAUUUGUGGAGCAUCAGCCAGAAAGCCAGGCUUGAUAAAGGUCAGGCUCAAAUCAUCUCACAUCUCUAAGACACACUAGCCUUCUACAGAGUAUUGAAACCUACCAGUGGGAUUGUCUGUCUCGAAGACAAACAUCUCUUGAAUGGUUCCCAACCACUCGGGUUCAUUUCCGAAAGAUAGAACUGAGUCCGUUGGGCGGGCGUUCACAUCCGCUGCAAGCCCUCCCUAGACGAUACUGCCCGGUAAUUCAGAGCAGUCCUUCUUCCCCGCCCAACAGUUUAAGGAAGAACCCCCUGCUUUCCCUUCGCUUCUCCGAGGCAUAGCGGCUUAGAGCAACAGUCCCGCUGCUUCUGCGGGCUGAAGCGACACGGAUAGACAUCCUAGAAUAUGUAACAGGGGACGCGGGAGAGGGGUGCGCGGAACAGUAGGUUAUCGGCGGGGAAAGGGUGGGUUCGACUCCUGACGGUCGUGUGCGCUCCGCAGAAGUGUCGGUCCCCCUUCGCAACUCAAAACGGGGUCUGCAUCCUGUGAGCAGGCUUUCUUGGACGGGCUCCAGAAGUCCUCAGCUGUACUGAGACACUUAGAAAUGCCAUCUCGACCUGAAGUCUGGAACCAUUUUUACCAUUCUAAGCGAAGGAUUCCCCCAUCCUUAGCCAAGGCUCCCCACUCAGCUUGUUCCAGGAAAGGGCCGGGGAAGAGGGUUCCCAUCGCGCUUCCCGAGCCCUCCAGGCGGGCUUAGGGCUCCUGUAAGGCACUGGCCCAAGGCCCGCGACCUCCCCGCCGAGGAUGCCGGGCGCCCGGGCUCUCCGCCCCGGCUCCUCGGCCUCUUCCUUGCCGACCGCCCCCGGCGGCCUGGGCGCCCGCGCGUCCCGCGGGACUCGGCUGCAGCUGCGCGCCGGGGGUCGUGGCUGCCCCCGGGCGGUCCGCACGCCCUCAGGACUUGGGCUGGCUGAUCCGCCGAGGAGUCCCGGGCCGGAGGGACCGGGCGGGAACGUGCGGAUCCGCCCCCGGUCCCGGGACGGCGCGGCGGGGCCAGCGCUCCGGGGUGGGGCUCGGCCGAGCUCGGGGCAGCGCCGGGGGCGGCGGGUCUGGGGUGGGAGAGGGGCGCCCGGCCGCCGGCGGGACGUUCCCAGCUCUGGGCUCCCCUCGGCUCGCUCGGGCCCAGCUGGGCCCGCUCGGGUCGCCGCCCCCGCCCCCCGCGCGCCCGCGCCCUCUCUCGGCCCGCGCGCGUUCCUAGGGCGCCACCUCUUUGCGACUCGCUCACUUCUCCGGCAGGUUUCCCUGAGAGCGUGUGAACAUUGCCCAGCUCGGCUUUCAACUCGCUUCCAACCUGCACCGCCCGGCCAGCAUGCCUCCCCGGCCGUGAAGCGGGGCCGCCGCCGCCCCUCCGCGCCGCUGGUAACCCGCCCUCGCCGCCACCUGGCCCUCCUGAUCGACGACACACGCACUUAAAACUUGUUCUCAGGGUGUGUGGAGUCAACUUUCCGGAAGCAACCAGCCCACCAGAGGAGGUAGACAGACAGCUAGUUGGAGUAGCUGAUUCCUAAAUAAGU